rnacentral:rRNA from 1 species
UGGGGGAUAUUGCACAAUGGGCGAAAGCCUGAUGCAGCGACGCCGCGUGGGGGAUGAAGGCUUUCGGGUUGUAAACCUCUUUCGCUAUCGAACAAGGCCCGCUUAGGGUGGGUUGAGGGUAGGUGGAGAAGAAUCGCCGGCUAACUACGUGCCAGCAGCCGCGGUAAUACGUAGGGCGCGAGCGUUGUCCGGAAUUAUUGGGCGUAAAGGGCUUGUAGGCGGCUUGUUGCGCCUGCUGUGAAAACGCGGGGCUUAACUUCGCGCGUGCAGUGGGUACGGGCAGGCUUGAGUGUGGUAGGGGUGACUGGAAUUCCAGGUGUAGCGGUGGAAUGCGCAGAUAUCUGGAGGAACACCGAUGGCGAAGGCAGGUCACUGGGCCAUUACUGACGCUGAGGAGCGAAAGCAUGGGUAGCGAACAGG